rnacentral:rRNA from 1 species
UACAGAGGUCCCAAGCGUUGUUCGGAUUUACUGGGCGUAAAGGGAGCGUAGGUGGCAUUCUAAGUCUGAUGUGAAAGCUCUGAGCUUAACUCAGAAAUGGCAUUAGAUACUAGUUUGCUUGAGGAUUGGAGGGGAGAUUGGAAUUCUUGGUGUAGCAGUGAAAUGCGUAGAUAUCAAGAGGAACACCAGUGGCGAAGGCGAAUCUCUGGACAAUUCCUGACACUGAUGCUCGAAAGCUAGGGGAGCAAACGGG